rnacentral:rRNA from 1 species
CGGCAACAGCUCAAAUUUGAAAUCUGGCUCUGCCCGAGUUGUAAUUUGCAGAGGGUGCUUUGGAGUCGUCCCCGGUCUAAGUUCCUUGGAACAGGACGUCGCAGAGGGUGAGAAUCCCGUACGCGGCUGGGUGCCUUCUCCGUGU